GGUAACACUGAAUGGAGGACCGAACCGACUUACGUUGAAAAGUGAGCGGAUGAACUGAGGGUAGCGGAGAAAUUCCAAUCGAACCUGGAGAUAGCUGGUUCUCUCCGAAAUAGCUUUAGGGCUAGCCUCAAGUGAUGAUUAUUGGAGGUAGAGCACUGUUUGGACGAGGGGCCCCUCUCGGGUUACCGAAUUCAGACAAACUCCGAAUGCCAAUUAAUUUAACUUGGGAGUCAGAACAUGGGUGAUAAGGUCCGUGUUCGAAAGGGAAACAGCCCAGACCACCAGCUAAGGUCCCAAAAUAUAUGUUAAGUGGAAAAGGAUGUGGCGUUGCCCAGACAACUAGGAUGUUGGCUUAGAAGCAGCCAUCAUUUAAAGAGUGCGUAAUAGCUCACUAGUCGAGUGACACUGCGCCGAAAAUGUACCGGGGCUAAACAUAUUACCGAAGCUGUGGAUUGUCCUUUGGACAAUGGUA
rnacentral:rRNA from 1 species